CCUACGGGAGGCAGCAGUGAGGAAUAUUGGUCAAUGGACGAUAGUCUGAACCAGCCACGUAGCGUGAAGGAUGACUGCCCUAUGGGUUGUAAACUUCUUUUAUAUGGGAAUAAAAUGUUGCACGUGUGGGACUUUGUGUGUACCAUAUGAAUAAGGAUCGGCUAACUCCGUGCCAGCAGCCGCGGUAAUACGGAGGAUCCGAGCGUUAUCCGGAUUUAUUGGGUUUCACGGGAGCGUUUGUGGGUUGUUAAGUCAGUUGUGAAAGUUUGCGGCUCAACCGUAAAAUUGCAGUUGAAACUGGCAGUAUUGAGUAAAGUAGAGGUGGGCGGAAUGCGUGGUGUAGCGGUGAAAUGCUUAGAUAGCACGAAGAACUCCGAUUGCGAAGGCAGCUCACUGGACUGCAACUGACACUGAGGCUCGAAAGUGUGGGUAUCAAACAGGAUUAGAUACCCCUGUAGUC
rnacentral:rRNA from 1 species